rnacentral:rRNA from 1 species
UCCGACCCGCACGAAUGGCGUAAUGAUUUGGGCACUGUCUCAACAGCAAAUCCGGCGAAAUUGUAGUGCAAGUGAAGAUGCUUGCUACCCGCGAUUGGACGGAAAGACCCCGUAGAGCUUUACUGUAGCUUAGCAUUGAAUCUCGGUAUUGUCUGUACAGGAUAGGUGGGAGACUUGGAAGCUUGGGCGUCAGCCUGAGUGGAGUCAUCCUUGGGAUACCACCCUGACAGUACUGGGGUUCUAACCGGCGGCCAUGAAUCUGGUCACGGGACAUUGUUAGGUGGGCAGUUUGACUGGGGCGGUCGCCUCCUAAAAAGUAACGGAGGCGCCCAAA